ACGUAGGGGGCAAGCGUUGUCCGGAUUUAUUGGGCGUAAAGCGCUCGCAGGUGGUUCAUUGCGUCGUGCGUGAAAGACCCCGGCUCAACUGGGGAGGGUCGUGCGAAACGGGUGAACUAGAGGCCAGUAGGGGGAUGCGGAAUUCCGGGUGUAGUGGUGGAAUGCGUAGAGAUCCGGAGGAACACCAGCGGCGAAGGCGGCAUCCUGGACUGGUCCUGACACUCAGGAGCGAAAGCGUGGGGAGCGAUCCGGAUUAGAUACCCGGGUAGUCCACGCUGUAAACGAUGAGUACUAGGUGUUGGGGGUAUCGACCCCCUCAGUGCCGAAGCUAACGCGAUAAGUACUCCGCCUGGGGACUACGGCCGCAAGGCUA
rnacentral:rRNA from 1 species